rnacentral:rRNA from 1 species
AAUGGGCGAAAGCCUGACGCAGCAACGCCGCGUGAGUGAUGAAGGAUUUCGGUUCGUAAAGCUCUGUUGCAGGGGAAUAAGUAAGUGAAGGUACUCUGUGAGGAAGGGACGGCCAACUUCGUGCCAGCAGCCGCGGUAAUACGAAGGUCCCUAGCGUUGUUCGGAAUCAUUGGGCGUAAAGCGUGCGUAGGUGGCUUUAUAAGUCAGGUGUGAAAGCCCGGGGCUCAACCCCGGAAGUGCACUUGAAACUGCAAAGCUUGAGUACGGUAGAGGUGAGUGGAAUUCCUGGUGUAGUGGUGAAAUACGUAGAUAUCAGGAGGAACAUCGGUGGCGAAGGCGGCUCACUGGACCAGUACUGACACUGAGGCACGAAAGCAUGGGGAUCAAA